UACAGAGGUGGCAAGCGUUGUUCGGAAUUACUGGGCGUAAAGGGCGAGUAGGUGGCCAUCUAAGUCAGACGUGAAAUCCCCCGGCUUAACCUGGGAACUGCGUCUGAUACUGGACGGCUAGAGUUUGGGAGAGGGAUGCAGAAUUCCAGGUGUAGCGGUGAAAUGCGUAGAGAUCGGGAAGAACAUCGGUGGCGAAGGCGCUCUACUGGACCACAACUGACACUCAGGGACGAAAGCUAGGGGAGCGAAUGGG
rnacentral:rRNA from 1 species